CCCCUUUCCCAAGGACAAUCUGCAAGAAAGCAGCGGCGGAGGAGAGCUAAGACUAAAAGAGUGGAUCAUGACCCAUGAAGAGCACCAUGCAGCCAAAACCCUGGGGAUUGGCAAAGCCAUUGCUGUCUUAACCUCUGGUGGAGAUGCCCAAGGUAUGAAUGCUGCUGUCAGGGCUGUGGUUCGAGUUGGUAUCUUCACCGGUGCCCGUGUCUUCUUUGUCCAUGAGGGUUAUCAAGGCCUGGUGGAUGGUGGAGAUCACAUCAAGGAAGCCACCUGGGAGAGCGUUUCGAUGAUGCUUCAGCUGGUAUGUUCCAGAGAACUCCCUGUCCCAUAUUUGCUCUGUCCUUGUUUCAUCCCACUCUGGUUUGGGCUUAUGGUCUCCCAAAUUCCCUGUCAUAUGGUUUCAUGGGAAGGAAUUCAGUGACAAGAGAGGGACCCUAUUUGCCCUUUACUCUUAGCAUUUGAAAAUACCACCCUGGUUUCCUGGGGCAGGGAGAGGGUGGAGGAGUGAUCACAGGAUGCUUUGCUCUUUAUGGAAAGGUCAUAAACAAGACUAUGGGGACUGACACAUAAGCAGGUCUUACUCUAGGGUCACAGGGAAGGUCUGGCCCUGAAAAUAACCUUACCAGA
rnacentral:sRNA from 1 species